GCUCCCGUAGCUCAACCGGAUAGAGCACCUGAUUCCUAAUCAGGGGGUUUGCAGGUUCGAGUCCUGCCGGGAGCGCCA
rnacentral:tRNA from 1 species